rnacentral:misc_RNA from 1 species
CCUCCACAGAUGCUGAAGCAAAUUGGUGGAAUGGGUGGCUUGCAAAAUCUAAUGAAGCAAAUGGGUUCUGCAAAGGAUAUGAUGGGGAUGUUUGGAUGUGGGGACGNGGGGGACAAGUAGGGUGUGAUUUGAACUGCAUUGAUGAUCUGAAUUGGUUUCCAAUUAAGCGUAGCAAGACGAAAACACGGAAGAGGCAUACAAGCAAAUCAAUGCUACUGACUGUUUAGCUUAGAUAAUUCUUAAAGGCUGAUGCAUUUGGAUUGAAAUGGUAUUUAACUUUGCCUGUUUUGUAUGUAUUGGGUUGAGAAAAGUAAAAUAUCUAAAAAGAAGGAAUGAAAAAUAGUGGGAAAUUGAGGUUUUAGAUCAUGAAGCAGAAAUAAUUUAUUUUAGAUCAGCGUUCCAGCAGAUGUAUA